UACGAAGGAUGCGAGCGUUAUCCGGAUUUAUUGGGUUUAAAGGGUGCGUAGGCGGUCUUAUAAGUCAGUGGUGAAAUCCUAUCGCUUAACGAUAGACGUGCCAUUGAUACUGUAGGACUUGAGUACAGAUGCCGUUGGCGGAAUGUGUCAUGUAGCGGUGAAAUGCAUAGAUAUGACACAGAACACCGAUUGCGAAGGCAGCUGACGAAACUGUAACUGACGCUGAUGCACGAAAGCGUGGGGAGCGAACGGG
rnacentral:rRNA from 1 species